rnacentral:rRNA from 1 species
CAAUAGCGUAUAUUAAAGUUGUUGCAGUUAAAAGCUCGUAGUUGGAUUUCUGGCCGAGUGUCCCUAGGCCAGCAUGACGUUUGGUCCUAGGCGCUCUGCCAUCCUUCUGUCAACCUUCGCCUUCUUCAUUGGGGGCGCUGGGGCUCAGAUAUUUUACCUUGAGAAAAUUAGAGUGUUUCAGGCAGGCUAGGCCGGAAUACAUUAGCAUGGAAUAAUGGAAUAGGACUACGGUCUCUUUGUUGGUUUGAGGGACUGCAGUAAUGAUUAAUAGGGAUAGCUGGGGGUAUUCAUAUUCAAUUGUCAGAGGUGAAAUUCUUGGAUUUAUGGAAGAUGAACUUAUGCGAAAGCAUUUACCAAGGAUGUUUUCAUUAAUCAAGAACGAAAGUUAGGGGAUCGAAGAUGAUUAGAUACCAU